UCCCUCCCAACAACCUUCUCCAAGGGUGGCUCCCUCCGUGGGGUAGGCUGGGUAAAUUGCUCCACACCACCGUGCCUGCUACACGCAGGGGGAAAAUGCGAGCUGUGCCGGUGGUUGUUGUCAUCAGUAGCACACACGGAUGGGAUCAGGAGCCAGGCUUCCUGACUCAAUCAUCGGCAGGCACCAUGAGCCAGACAGCUCUGCUCCCCCAGUCCCCCUGCCAGGACAUCUCGGCCUUGGACCCAGCAACCACGGACUGAACGCACAAAACCAGGCCUGUGGCCCCACCUACCUGGAACGGGGGCGAGAAGGGAAGUUUUCUGUGUCUUCAGGAGCAACUGAUACAAAACAGCAUCUGGUGAACUCGUAGUGCCAGCCGUGUGUGGUGCCAUAGCCACACCUCGCUUCCUGGAGGCACCGCAAAACGAUGACAUCAACCACCUCACGUCAUUACCGAGAUCCUAACUGACGAGGACACUGAAGCUUAGAAAAACUGCAUAACUUGCCUAAAGCCACCCCGAGAUUCGGGGUUGAACUUCAGGUUUGAAGUCUCUGGAACUUGCGCCCUUCCCUCUCAGAUCCCAGGAGAGUUGGAAGGGAAACUGCUUCCCCUGGGGGGCAUCAACGCAUAAACCACUGCCUUUCUGCCCACCAGGCCCGGGUCCAUGAACAGAAACACAGCCAGCUAACUCCGGACUCCCCCCGUGUGGCCGUGACACUUGGAAGAGGUGACCCACAGUUCCUGAUGAUUUAUUUUUCAUUUAGGCCCAAAAUAUAGGAGGCAUCUUUUGAUUUUCUUCCCUUUCUCUUGUGUUCUGUGUUAGGAGGUCCAGCUUGUUCACCUUCUAGAACCUGUAUCAAAUUAAAAU